rnacentral:rRNA from 1 species
GACAAACGCUGGCGGCGCGCUUAACACAUGCAAGUCGAGCGAGAACCAGCCCUUCGGGGCUGGGGACAGCGGCGAACGGGUGAGUAACACGUGGGUAAUCAACCCUCGGUACUGGGAUAGCCCGGGGAAACCCGGAUUAAUACCGGAUGGCCCUUUGGAUCUUCGGAUCUGACGGAAAAGGUAGCUUCGGCCUCCGACCGAGGACGAGCCCGCGGCGGAUUAGCUUGUUGGUGGGGUAAUGGCCUACCAAGGCGGCGAUCCGUAGCUGGUCUGAGAGGACGAUCGGCCAAACUGGGACUGAGACACGGCCCAGACUCCUACGGGAGGCAGAAGUGGGGAAUCUUGCGCUAAUGCGGGAAACCGUGACGCAGCGACGCCGCGUGAGGGAAGAAGGCCUUCGGGUUGUAAACCUCUUUCAGGAGGGACGAAGCUACUCGGGUUAAUAGCCCAGAGGGUGACGGUACCUCCAGAAGAAGCCCCGGCUAACUACGUGCCAGCAGCCGCGGUAA